GGAAGUAAAAGUCUAACAAGGUUUCCGUAGGUGAACCUGCGGAAGGAUCAUUCAUAAUAAAGUGUUUUAUGGCACUUUUUAAAAAUCCAUAUCCACCUUGUGUGCAAUGUUAGAUCUCGUCAAUCUUGGCGAGGUUUUUUACAUCAACUCACUCUUUAACUAAUUUGUCUGAAAAAUAUUAUGAAUACUUAAUUCAAAAUACAACUUUCAACAACGGAUCUCUUGGCUCUC
rnacentral:misc_RNA from 1 species